UUUCACACACAGAGGAUCACAUCCAUUUCCUCCAGAGGUGCCGGGGUCUUCCUGUCACCCCUGAUGCCGGAUUUGGACCCAGAUUCUCUGUCCAUCCACACUGCUCUUUUGAGAAUGUGAAGAAGGUGGUUUCUCAACUGAAGGAUCAACUGGAGAAUGUUUGUGAAAAGAAAACAACAGAGAUCAAUUAUGCAGUUACCAAAAGCACAUCAUCUUAUGUUUGGCAAGAUUUAGAUUUCCCAUUCAGGGCCUCAAAAUGGGUCGUGAAAAAUAAGCAAGUGAAGUAUCUGCAUAGCACAUCAAAUUCGUAACAUGGAAG